rnacentral:lncRNA from 1 species
GAGACAUCCAGCCUCGUGGACUGAAUAACUACUGGACUCUUGGACUUUCUAUCAAGAGAGAAUAGUUGGACUACAGCAUGACAUGAGGAAUGCAGUUUGCUGUGAGUCCAGAGGAUGUCUCUUCAGCAUUCAGACUUGUGAGCUUAGAAAGCUGCCAUUGUGAAGAACCAAGGAGCCUCCCCAGCCACAGCACUGAGAAGGUACCCCAGACUGGAGCACAAGACCCAGUGCACACAGCUACUAGACUUCAGUUUCUGUCUUCCAAAACUACCAGCAGCUUUUUUCUCUGCUUGGA